CCCUAGUAACGGCGAGUGAAGAGGGAAGAGCCCAAGAUUGAAAGCUGGCGUCUUCGGCGUCCGCAUUGUAAUCUCAAGAAGUGUUUUCCGCUUCGGACCAAGCCUAAGUCCCUUGGAAAAGGGCAUCAUAGAGGGUGAUAAUCCCGUACAUGGCUUGGAGCGCCCGAAGCUUUGUGAUACGCUUUCUAAGAGUCGAGUUGUUUGGGAAUGCAGCUCAAAAUGGGUGGUAAAUGCCAUCUAAGGCUAAAUAUUGGGGAGAGACCGAUAGCGAACAAGUACAGUGAUGGAAAGAUGAAAAGAACUUUGAAAAGAGAGUUAAACAGUACGUGAAAUUGCCAAAAGGGAAGGGUAGGAGGUCAGAGAUGCGGCCUGGGAUUCAGCCUUGCUUUUGCUUGGUGUUUUUCCCAGAUUGCAGGCCAACGUCGGUUUUGGGCACUGGAGAAGGGUAGGAGGAACGUGGCACCUCUCGGGGUGUGUUAUAGCCUCCUACUGGAUACAGCGACCGAGACCGAGGACAGCAGCGUACUCGCAAGAGCGGGCCUUCGGGCACCUUUACGCUUAGGGCGUUGGCAUAAUGGCCCUCUACCACCCGUCUUGAA
rnacentral:rRNA from 1 species